CUACUACUACAGCUACUACUACUACUGCAGCUACUACUACUACAGCUACUACUACUACAGCUACUACUACUACUACAGCUACUACUACUACAGCUACUACUACUACAGCUACAACUACUACAGCUACUACUACUACUACAGCUACUACUACUACAGCUACUACUACUACUACAGCUACUACUACUACUACAGCUACUACUACUACUACUACAGUUACUACUACUACUACUACAGCUACUACUACUACUACUACUACAGCUACUACUACUACUACUACAGCUACUACUACUAC
rnacentral:lncRNA from 1 species